rnacentral:rRNA from 1 species
GAUGAACGCUGGCGGCGUGCCUAAUACAUGCAAGUCGAGCGACCACACGAUGAGCUUUCUCUUCUGCCGUUAGCGGCUGACGGGCGAGUAACACGUGCAUCACCUUCCUCUUUUUCUUGGAUAAUUUCGUGAAACCACUUCUACUACCACCUCAUAUAUUUUACCGCUUGGUUCAAUAGUUCUACACGCUUUUCCUGUUUCUUUUAGCUGAUUUCGCGCCGCAUUAGUUAGUUGGUAAGGUAACGGCUUACCAAGGCAACGAUGCGUAGCCGACCUGAUAGGGUGAUCGGCCACACUGGAACUGAGACACGGUCCAGACUCCUACGGGAGGCAGCAGUAGGGAAUCUUCAGCAAUGGGCGAAAGCCUGACGGAGCAACGCCGCGUGAGUGAUGAAGGUCUUCGGAUCGUAAAACUCUGUUAUUAGGGAAGAAAAAAUGUGUAAGUAACUAUGCACGUCUUGACGGUACCUAAUCAGAAAGCCACGGCUAACUACGUG